CAGCAUCAUCUUCUUCAUCUUCCUCAGCAGACCCAACCUGAGGACAGACAGGUGAAGACAGACAGGUGAAGACAGACAGGUGAGAGACAGACAGGUGAGAGACAGACAGGUGAGGACAGACAGGUGAAGACAGACAGGUGAGAGACAGACAGGUGAGAGACAGACAGGUGAGGACAGACAGGUGAAGACAGACAGGUGAAGACAGACAGGAGAGAGACAGACAGGUGAGAGACAGACAGGUGAGAGACAGACAGGUGAGGACAGACAGGUGAGAGACAGACAGGAGAGAGACAGACAGGUGAGAGACAGACAGGUGAGGACAGACAGGUGAGAGACAGACAGGUGAGAGACAGACAGGUGAGGACAGACAGGUGAGAGACAGACAGGUGAGAGACAGACAGGUGAGGACAGACAGGUGAGAGACAGACAGGUGAAGACAGACAGGUGAGAGACAGACAGGUGAGAGACAGACAGGUGAGAGACAGACAGGUGAGAGACAGACAGGAGGGAGACAGACAGGUGAAGACAGACAGGUGAGAGACAGACAGGUGAAGACAGACAGGUGAGAGACAGACAGGUGAGAGAGAGAGACAGGUGAGAGACAGACAGGUGAGGACAGACAGGUGAAGACAGACAGGUGAGAGACAGACAGGUGGGAGACAGACAGGUGAGAGACAGACAGGUGAGAGACAGACAGGUGAAGACAGACAGGUGAGGACAGACAGGUGAAGACAGACAGGUGAGAGACAGACAGGUUCAAGAUCAAGAUUCAAGAUUCAAGAUGUUUUAUUUGUCACAUACACACACAGGGUGUGCAGUGAAAUGAAAGUGGCAAUGCUCAGCAGGAAUGUGCAAGGGCAACAAGUACACACUAUUUACAAUAAAAAACACAAUAUUUACAGUAAGUGUGUGUGUGUGUGUGUGUGUGUGUGCCUAAGAGGGGCAGUUGUGUGGGUCUAUGUGGGGGUCCUGGUGAGGUCGGAGUUCACAAUCCUGAUGGCCUGAGGAAAGAAACUCCGUCUCAGUCUCUCUGUUCUUGCAGCGUGACUACGGAGGCGCCUGCCUGACCGCAGCAGCUGAAACAGUCUGUUGUUGGGGUGGUGAGGAUCCUUCAUGAUCCUGCCGGCUCUGGUUCUGCACC